UCCAGACUCCUACGGGAGGCAGCAGUGGGGGAUAUUGCACAAUGGGGGGAACCCUGAUGCAGCGACGCCGCGUGGGUGAAGGAGCGUUUCGGCGCGUAAAGCCCUAUCGGCAGGGAAGAAGGAGGACGGUACCUGACUAAGAAGCCCCGGCUAACUACGUGCCAGCAGCCGCGGUAAUACGUAGGGGGCAAGCGUUAUCCGGAUUUACUGGGUGUAAAGGGGGCGCAGACGGCAGCGCAAGCCAGGAGUGAAAGCCCGGGGCCCAACCCCGGGACUGCUCUUGGAACUGCGUGGCUGGAGUGCAGGAGGGGCAGGCGGAAUUCCUGGUGUAGCGGUGAAAUGCGUAGAUAUCAGGAGGAACACCGGUGGCGAAGGCGGCCUGCUGGACUGCAACUGACGUUGAGGCCCGAAAGCGUGGGGAGCAAACAGGAUUAGAUACCCUAGUA
rnacentral:rRNA from 1 species